rnacentral:tRNA from 1 species
GGAAGAGUGGGUGAGUGGUUGAAACCAGGCGUUUGCUAAAUGUCCGUACUUGGAAACGAGUACCGAGAGUUCGAAUCUCUCCUCUUCCGCCA